rnacentral:rRNA from 1 species
AGUGAACGCUGGCGGUAGGCCUAACACAUGCAGGUCGAACGGCAGCACAGUAAGAGCUUGCUCUUACGGGUGGCGAGUGGCGGACGGGUGAGGAAUACAUCGGAAUCUACUUUUUCGUGGGGGAUAACGUAGGGAAACUUACGCUAAUACCGCAUACGACCUACGGGUGAAAGCAGGGGAUCUUCGGACCUUGCGCGAUUGAAUGAGCCGAUGUCGGAUUAGCUAGUUGGCGGGGUAAAGGCCCACCAAGGCGACGAUCCGUAGCUGGUCUGAGAGGAUGAUCAGCCACACUGGAACUGAGACACGGUCCAGACUCCUACGGGAGGCAGCAGUGGGGAAUAUUGGACAAUGGGCGCAAGCCUGAUCCAGCCAUGCCGCGUGGGUGAAGAAGGCCUUCGGGUUGUAAAGCCCUUUUGUUGGGAAAGAAAAGCAGCAGGUUAAUACCCCGCUGUUCUGACGGUACCCAAAGAAUAAGCAACGGCUAACUUCGUG